rnacentral:rRNA from 1 species
GGACUGAGACACGGCCCAGACUCCUACGGGAGGCAGCAGUGGGGAAUAUUGCACAAUGGGGGAAACCCUGAUGCAGCGACGCCGCGUGAAGGAUGAAGGUUUUCGGAUCGUAAACUUCUUUGAUCGGGGACGAAAAAUGACGGUACCCGAAGAACAAGCCACGGCUAACUACGUGCCAGCAGCCGCGGUAAUACGUAGGUGGCAAGCGUUGUCCGGAUUUACUGGGUGUAAAGGGCGUGUAGGCGGGAAUACAAGUCAGAUGUGAAAUACUGCGGCUCAACUGCAGAACGGCAUCUGAAACUGUAUUUCUUGAGUACUGGAGAGGAAAGCGGAAUUCCUAGUGUAGCGGUGAAAUGCGUAGAUAUUAGGAGGAACACCGGUGGCGAAGGCGGCUUUCUGGACAGUAACUGACGCUGAGACGCGAAAGCGUGGGGAGCAAACAGGAUUAGAUACCCUGGUAGUCCACGCCGUAAACGAUGGAUACUAGGUGUAGGAGGUAUCGACCCCUCCUGUGCCGCCGUUAACACAUUAAGUAUCCCACCUGGGGAGUACGGUCGCAAGACUGAGACUCAAAGGAAUUGACGGGGGCCCGCACAAGCAGUGGAGUAUGUGGUUUAAUUCGAGGCAACGCGAAGAACCUUACCAGGGCUUGACAUCGCCUGACAGCGCUAGAGAUAGCGUGUCUCUUCGGAGCAGGUAGACAGGUGGUGCAUGGUUGUCGUCAGCUCGUGUCGUGAGAUGUUGGGUUAAGUCCCGCAACGAGCGCAACCCUUGCCGUCAGUUGCCAUCAUUAAGUUGGGCACUCUGGCGGGACUGCCGGUGAUAAAUCGGAGGAAGGUGGGGAUGACGUCAAAUCAUCAUGCCCCUUAUGUCCUGGGCUACACACGUACUACAAUGGCCACUACAAUGGGAAGCGAUACCGCGAGGAGGAGCAAAUCCCCAAAGGUGGCCCCAGUUCGGAUUGCAGGCUGAAACUCGCCUGCACGAAGUCGGAAUUGCUAGUAAUUGCAGGUCAGCAUACUGCAGUGAAUACGUUCCCGGGCCUUGUACACACCGCCCGUCACACCAUGAGAGUUUGUAACACCCGAAGUCGGUAGUUUAACUUUAUUGAGGACGCCGCCGAAGGUGGGACAGAUGAUUAGGGUGAAGUCGUAACAAGGUAACCGUACUAGUACGAUGUUGAUG